GCUGAAUUGCUUUAUGAUCUGGCCACUGAAGUCUGACAACAUUACCUCCACUGCAUUCUGUUGGGUACAUGUGAGUCAGAAGCCCAUCCUCAUUUAAGGGGAGAGGAAUUACACUCCACCUCUCAAUGGGUGAAUGGCAAAAGAUAUUGAAAGCCGACUCCAGCAAACAACGCAGAUAACUCUGCAGGAUGACAGUGGAUCCGGAAUAGGAAAUGUUACAAUGGUAACAGCCAGCUGAGACCGGACCAGGGGCCCAAAGACAUUUCCAACUGGAUGGAGGAGCCCUUCUCAACUACAUCUCAGAAAUAAAUGCACAGCCUUCGAAGGGGACUUCUGUGAGAGACAAGGUGUUCUGGGCUGCAUUUUACAAAAGCACCAUGUUUUACUAUGAAACCUGUCUCGUUGCCUUGUAGCCCCAUCGUACUUUUCUUUGGUAACCAUCAAAAUAUUUCACAUUGUAUUUGGCACAUGAUAG